rnacentral:rRNA from 1 species
AGUGAACGCUGGCGGUAGGCCUAACACAUGCAAGUCGAACGGCAGCACAGAGGAGCUUGCUCCUUGGGUGGCGAGUGGCGGACGGGUGAGGAAUACAUCGGAAUCUACUCUGUCGUGGGGGAUAACGUAGGGAAACUUACGCUAAUACCGCAUACGACCUACGGGUGAAAGCAGGGGACCUUCGGGCCUUGCGCGAUUGAAUGAGCCGAUGUCGGAUUAGCUAGUUGGCGGGGUAAAGGCCCACCAAGGCGACGAUCCGUAGCUGGUCUGAGGGGAUGAUCAGCCACACUGGAACUGAGAAACGGUCCAGACUCCUACGGGAGGCAGCAGUGGGGAAUAUUGGACAAUGGGCGCAAGCCUGAUCCAGCCAUACCGCGUGGGUGAAGAAGGCCUUCGGGUUGUAAAGCCCUUUUGUUGGGAAAGAAAUCCAGCUGGCUAAUACCCGGUUGGGAUGACGGUACCCAAAGAAUAAGCACCGGCUAACUUCGUGCCAGCCGCCGCGGUAA